GUCAUUUGGUCCCUCUUCCACCAGCCUGACCGUUCUCUGGACUCCCCCACGCCUCCAUCACGGCCUGACACUUAGUCAGUCCAAUAAGGAUGACGGUUAUUAUAAUAUCUUUAUUAUAAGUAUCAUAAAUAAGGAGGACGAGGUCCUCUGUCCCCCGCCCACCACCAUGAACCAGCUUGACUGGAACCUGCACCUCCUAUUUCUUUAGCCAUCCUCAGUGGGUUCUCUGACAGACUGGCAGAGGCCUCGAGGGAGCCCGAGGGUCAGAGGACUCCAGUACCUCUGGAAAGAAGGGUGCUGAGGGACCAGGGUGAGCCACCCUUCCAAGCAGCUGGAAGAAAGGAAAAUCCCUGGCCAGGAACGAGAUAAAAUAUUGAUGGUUCCUUUCAAGAGAUGGGAAAAAGGCCACAUGUGGGAGAGAGAGAGCCCUCUUUCGAGGUCAGGACUAAGUAAGAGAGGGGGCCAUGAGGUUCAGUGCAAAGAUGCCUGGGGUGCUGGCUUUGCUGGGUGACCUCGAGCAAGUGACCUCCCUUCUCUGGGCUUCAGUUUCUCCACAAAUAAAACGAUUAUACUAAUCCCAGCCAAGGACCCUGAAAGGCGAGGAGCAGGUCACAGCCAAAGCAGGUGUCAACUCUAACCUUAACUCCACUGGUUUCAAUCUGGCACCAAAACUCAACCACAGAGUUCAGACCUUGAGCCCAAGGUCUGGCUGGGACACCACCCAGGGCCAGGCUGCUCCUGCACCCCCAACCUGGACACACCUCAGAGCUUCCCGCUGUGCCCUGUGGCCACCACUGUCCUCAGGGGCUGCCAGUCCAGCCUGGGGUGGGGCCUACCCCCAGCUCCUCCUCCUCCCAGGGCCAGAGUCCGUGAGGCACCCCGACAAGGCCCCUGGGCUGGGGAUUUGGAGCCUCUCAGAGGCUCUGUGCCGGGGCCAGUGACUCCACUUCCCUGAGCCCUGCUUCCUUUAUCGCUCAAAUGGGUCUGACAAGAAUCCCUGCGCUGUCACCUCACCUCACAGGAGCAAAGGAGACAACAGAAGCAAAAGCACUGUGGAAAACGUAAAGUGACAAAAGCAGCACUGAACUCUUUCUCUGGGCCAGGAAAACACUAUUUCAUUCACACACAAAAAUCAGAGACGGAAACUACUGUUAUUUACAAUUUACACAUGAGGAAACCGAGACAAUGACAAGGGACAGAAGGACAGGCGGGGACCAGACCCAGAUCAUGCUGGGUCCUGAAGGCUCAGGACAGCUCUCUGGGGGCCCGCAGGGGCAGGGGGCUCUCUUCUCCUUUCCUCUGCAGGUGGAGACAGGCUCUGAGCCUCCAAACUUGUUCCACCACUAACUGUCAUGUCGAAGGUCCACAUGACAGAAAUGGGCGCGGGGGACAAGGAAACCACCAAUCAGGUGACAGGAGGAAGCAUUAUUACCAAUAACCUUCUCAAGACCCCUGCCAGGUUAGAAUUUCUCUCCCCAUUUUGCAGAUGAGGAAACUGAGGAUCAGAAAGGGUAAGUGACUUGUCCAAGAUCAAAGCAGGCGGGAGAAACUCCUCUCCAACAUCCAAGCGGGCUGCCUCUCCCCCUUCCCCAGCUUCACAGGAGCUUCCAAGCUUCCCUCCCUUGCCCAGGGCCCCCUCCCUCCCUCAUCCCAGGAGAAAACUGCAGGGUUCCCCCCCUGGAACAGACCAUCAUUCUCCGAAGUCCUGGGCAAAUCCCACAAAUAUUUAAAAGGGCUAUUUUGGAAGCCAACAAGGGAGGGAAAUGGUGCAUCCCUGGCCUGGCCCAGGCCUAAUGGGUCUCUGACCCCACCCCCACCCGCAGGCACCAGCCCAAGCUCCCAGUGCCAGCCGUGGUUCAGGAGGCGGCCACAGCUGGAACAGCAGAGCCAGGCAAGAGGAGGGGCAGGGCGGGCUCUCUGGCCCAGACACGCUGGCACUCCCGGCCGAGGGAACUCGGGCUCCCCUGGCGGAGCCCUGGAAGGCGAAGAAGGAAGGGGGGGUGGGGUGCUUUUCUGGUGGGUGAGAGGCCAGGUCAGAGGUGGUGGGCAGGGGGUGGGGACGGUGCAGGAGCUCUGACUCCACGUCCCCCAGGAAGGUGUGUGUGACCCCAGGCAAGCCACUUGGUUUCCCCUCGUGAAAAAGGAGGGACUCGGGCUGGGUUUCUCAGGCCUCAGGGGAAGGUGCCAGGUGACUGAUUCCCUGAGAGUAACUCGAGAAGGGGAGAGGAGGGGGGCCGGGUGAGGCUCCUCCCAGCCUCCCAGACGCCCCUGCCACUCGCCUGGGCGCCCGGGGACUUCGGAAGCCCAAGAGGAAAAAUGCGAGAGAAAACAGGUUUCAAAAACAGCCGAGACGCCAGCCUCGCCACCUGGACCCGGCCAGAGUUAGAGACGCAGGGAUCUAGAUGGCCCGAUGUGCGGUACUUCCUGAGACCCCAGGCUCAGCCUCGCCCCCAACUUCAAGAGCGUGAGGGUCCGAGAGCCCCCGCCCCCCGCCGCGAAGACCUGUUCUAGGAUUUGUAGACAGCCCUGCUGGAAGCAGCUGAGCAUGCCUCAAGGAUCAAGGCUGGAAGCAUCAUUCACCCCAGGCUUCCCUGGAGCCGUUGACCAGUGCCUGGCACAGAGGAGGUGCCCAGUACGCAUCAGGGACUUAAGUUCUGUCCGCCAGUUCUCUGAGUGUGCCCAGCAAGCGGGUGACCCUCUGCAGUUGGAGAAGCAACAGCAACUGUGGAGGCUGGAGGAGGUGGCCCUGAGGGCCCCCACCAGCCCAGACUGCCCUCCUGGAGAGGACCAGCAGCUGUCUCCUCCUCAGUCUGGGCAUCCACAGAGGGAGGUCUCUGGCUAUGGAGCUGCUGAGCUAAUUAAGAAUGACAAAGCACCAUGUAAUUGCCAGCACUUGGUGAGUCCCCUGCCUCUUCCUGCCCCUCCUUCCCUUGCCCUGCUUGGCACUGCCUGGCCUGGAAGUCCUCCGCACAAACAGAGCCCGGUGGAGUGGCAACACUGAGCACAGGCUGGUGUCAAGCAGACCUGGAGACUGGCUGCCUCUGCCGCCCCCUUGCAGCGAGACCCUGAGCAAGGAAGUUCCCCUCUUACGUCAGCUCCAUUUCCUCGUCUGCAGGGCUCUUGACCUUGUGUUAAGAGGAGGGACAAGGCUAAGGGGCCGACGGGGCUGCACUUGCCGGAUGGUUGAAUGCAACAAGGCACACAGCCCCAGGUCUGAACCCCAGCCCUGCCACUCACCAGCUGUGUGAUCUUGGGCAGGCCACUUACCUUCUCUGAGCAACAGAGUCCUCAUCUCCAAAAUGGGAUUUGUCUAAGAGCACUUAGCUCUUACGAGGAGAAUAUGCGUUUGUCCUAGAUCUGUGCCUGCGACAGAGAACCCUGGACAAGUUCCUCUCUAUCAAAGUGGAUGCAGAAAUUAAGGGUU